AAAUUGAAUUUGAUAGGGAUUCGUUUUCGAGAUUGUUACGGAAGGUGUCAUUAGCCGAAGCCAAGCUCUACUCGCAAAUGGCGUAUCUAGGAAGCUUGGCCUAUACCAUACCCAAAAUCAAGGUACCGAAUUUGCCUCUUUGUUUUCUUUUUUCAUCAAUUGUUUUGAUCAAUACAUUUCUUUUAUGCUACUUCUAUCUAAAAUGAACAAAUCUGUUGAACUCUGUUUUUCUUGGUGAUUAUGUAGGGACUAGAGGUGUGGGAUUUCAUUAAUGGGUUUAUGGGUUCUUAGAUGCUAUGGAUCCAAAAAUUUCUUGUUUCUUUCUUAGAUCGUGACUAAAUCUAUCUUUGAUUGAGUCAGAUGGGUUGAAUCGAUAGUUGAUAGACUGAAUCAUAUAGUUCAUACAUUUGGGAUCUUCAACCUCAAGUUCCUCUGCUUUCAUGGAAUGGAAUACUUGAAAAACUUUUGGUUUGAAUGCUUUUACGCCCUCUAAUGCAUGAAUCUAUCAACUUCUUUAAUAAUCUGCUAACAAUGUACCUAGGCUGCCUCAACCAGAAGGAUGGAUGUCAGUUGUCAUUAGACGAGUUUUUGAUUUUUUAGAAGAUCCCCUUUGUGAAGUCUGUAACUUAACUGCGCAAUAAAUGACUAGUUUAAAGGAUCAUAUUCUAUUAAUUUGCUGUCUUCAAAGAAAUUAAUUCAUUAAUUUUUGAUUGUGUUCCUUCCUUAUUUGAAAAAUUAGUUAGAUUUAUAGACAACUUAAGGUUGAUGAAUAAUUUUUUCCUCCUGUUGAAUCAGGCAGGAAAUCUCUUAAAAUAUCGUGGCCUCCAGUUUGUAACUUCAUCGAUUGAGAAAAGCGAAUUGGCAAUGAAAGCAGAGAA
rnacentral:misc_RNA from 1 species